rnacentral:rRNA from 1 species
CCUACGGGUGGCAGCAGUGGGGAAUAUUGGACAAUGGGGGGAACCCUGAUCCAGCCAUGCCGCGUGUGUGAAGAAGGCCCUCGGGUUGUAAAGCACUUUCAGUGAGGAAGAACGCCUGGUGGUUAAUACCCAUCAGGAAAGACAUCACUCACAGAAGAAGCACCGGCUAACUCCGUGCCAGCAGCCGCGGUAAUACGGAGGGUGCGAGCGUUAAUCGGAAUUACUGGGCGUAAAGCGCGCGUAGGUGGCUUGAUAAGCCGGUUGUGAAAGCCCCGGGCUCAACCUGGGAACGGCAUCCGGAACUGGCAAGCUAGAGUGCAGGAGAGGAAGGUAGAAUUCCCGGUGUAGCGGUGAAAUGCGUAGAGAUCGGGAGGAAUACCAGUGGCGAAGGCGGCCUUCUGGACUGACACUGACACUGAGGUGCGAAAGCGUGGGUAGCAAACAGGAUUAGAUACCCGGGUAGUC